AGUGAACGCUGGCGGUAGGCCUAACACAUGCAAGUCGAACGGCAGCACAGUAAGAGCUUGCUCUUACGGGUGGCGAGUGGCGGACGGGUGAGGAAUACAUCGGAAUCUACUUUUUCGUGGGGGAUAACGUAGGGAAACUUACGCUAAUACCGCAUACGACCUACGGGUGAAAGCAGGGGAUCUUCGGACCUUGCGCGAUUGAAUGAGCCGAUGUCGGAUUAGCUAGUUGGCGGGGUAAUGGCCCACCAAGGCGAUGAUCCGUAGCUGGUCUGAGAGGGUGACCGGCCACAGUGGGACUGAGAUACGGCCCAGACUCCUACGGGAGGCAGCAGUGGGGAAUAUUGCACAAUGGGCGGAAGCCUGAUGAAGAAACGCCGCGUGCGGGAUGACGGCCUUCGGGUUGUAAACCGCUUUCGCCUGUGACGAAGCGUGAGUGACGGUAAUGGGUAAAGAAGCACCGGCUAACUACGUG
rnacentral:rRNA from 1 species